rnacentral:tRNA from 1 species
GGCUGCGGUAGCCUAGUGGUUAGCAUUUCGCACUGUCAUUCGAAAGGCCCAGGUUUAAGUCCCGGUGCGACCA